rnacentral:rRNA from 1 species
UACAGAGGUCCCAAGCGUUGUUCGGAUUCAUUGGGCGUAAAGGGCGCGUAGGCGGCUUGACAAGUCACUUGUGAAAUCUCCGGGCUUAACUCGGAACGGCCAAGUGAAACUGUCAUGCUAAAGUGCAGAAGGGGCAAUCGGAAUUCUUGGUGUAGCGGUGAAAUGCGUAGAUAUCAAGAGGAACACCUGAGGUGAAGACGGGUUGCUGGGCUGACACUGACGCUGAGGCGCGAAAGCCAGGGGAGCAAACGGG